AACGAACGCUGGCGGCAGGCCUAAUACAUGCAAGUCGAGCGCAUCCUUCGGGAUGAGCGGCGGACGGGUGAGUAACGCGUGGGAAUAUGCCCUUCUCUAAGGAAUAGCCUCGGGAAACUGAGAGUAAUACCUUAUACGUCCUUCGGGGGAAAGAUUUAUCGGAGAAGGAUUAGCCCGCGUUGGAUUAGGUAGUUGGUGGGGUAAUGGCCUACCAAGCCUACGAUCUAUAGCUGGUUUGAGAGGAUGAUCAGCCACACUGGGACUGAGACACGGCCCAGACUCCUACGGGAGGCAGCAGUAGGGAAUCUUAGACAAUGGGGGAAACCCUGAUCUAGCCAUGCCGCGUGUGUGAUGAAGGCCUUAGGGUCGUAAAGCACUUUCGCCAGAGAUGAUAAUGACAGUAUCUGGUAAAGAAACCCCGGCUAACUCCGUGCCAGCAGCCGCGGUAAUACGGAGGGGGUUAGCGUUGUUCGGAAUUACUGGGCGUAAAGCGCACGUAGGCGGAUUAGUAAGUUAGAGGUGAAAUCCCAGGGCUCAACCCUGGAACUGCCUUUAAUACUGCUAGUCUUGAGUAAGGAGGUGAUCGAGUGUAGAAGUGAAAUUCGUAGAUAUUCGGAGGAACACCAGUGGCGAAGGCGGCUUACGGGCUCGAUACUGACGCUGAGGUGCGAAAGUGUGGGGAGCAAACAGGAUUAGAUACCCUGGUAGUCCACACCGUAAACGAUGAAUGCCAGACGUCAGCAGGUAUACUUGUUGGUGUCACACCUAACGGAUUAAGCAUUCCGCCUGGGGAGUACGGUCGCAAGAUUAAAACUCAAAUGAAUUGACGGGGGCCCGCACAAGCGGUGGAGCAUGUGGUUUAAUUCGACGCAACGCGAAGAACCUUACCUGGUCUUGACAUCCUGCGAACUCACUAGAAAUAGUUUGGUGCCUUCGGGAACGCAGUGACAGGUGCUGCAUGGCUGUCGUCAGCUCGUGUCGUGAGAUGUUGGGUUAAGUCCCGUAACGAGCGCAACCCUUGUCCUUAGUUGCCAUCAUUAAGUUGGGCACUUUAGGGAGACUGCCGGUGACAAACCGGAGGAAGGUGGGGACGACGUCAAGUCAUCAUGGCCCUUACGACCAGGGCUGCACACGUGCUACAAUGGAGCGUACAAAGGGUUGCAACCCCGCGAGGGUGAGCUAAUCCCAUAAAACGUUUCGUAGUCCGGAUCGCAGUCUGCAACUCGACUGCGUGAAGUCGGAAUCGCCAGUAAUCGUGAAUCAGAAUGUCACGGUGGAUACGUUCCCGGGCCUUGUACACACCGCCCGUCACACCAUGGGAGUGGGUUGCAAAAGAAGUGGGUAGCAUAACCUUAGGGAGUGCGCUCACCACUUUGUGAUUCAUGACUGGGGUGAAGUCGUAACAAGGUAGCCGUAGGGGAACCU
rnacentral:rRNA from 1 species